GUCCCCGUAGCUCAAUGGAUAGAGCAGCGCACUCCUAAGGCGCUGAUGGAGGUUCGAUUCCUCUCGGGGAUA
rnacentral:tRNA from 1 species